UGGGGAAUUUUGGACAAUGGGGGAAACCCUGAUCCAGCCAUCCCGCGUGUGCGAUGAAGGCCUUCGGGUUGUAAAGCACUUUUGGCAGGAAAGAAACGUCAUGGGUUAAUACCCCGUGAAACUGACGGUACCUGCAGAAUAAGCACCGGCUAACUACGUGCCAGCAGCCGCGGUAAUACGUAGGGUGCAAGCGUUAAUCGGAAUUACUGGUCGUAAAGCGUGCGCAGGCGGUUCGGAAAGAAAGAUGUGAAAUCCCAGAGCUCAACUUUGGAACUGCAUUUUUAACUACCGGGCUAGAGUGUGUCAGAGGGAGGUGGAAUUCCGCGUGUAGCAGUGAAAUGCGUAGAUAUGCGAAGGAACACCGAUGGCGAGGGCAGCCUCCUGGGAUAACACUGACGCUCAUGCACGAAAGCGUGGGGAGCAAACAGG
rnacentral:rRNA from 1 species